CGCGACCUGGAAACCCUAAUCAGAUCCCGAUCAAGGCACAACAUCGACUCCAAUGUCCAAUCUCGAUCGAGCCGUAGAGAGGAGCGGCCAGUUCUCGAUCCAGUGAAGACGCCGGUGUGUGUCGGUCCCCUUGAGGUGAGGUGAGGGAUUUGAGCGGGAUCCGGGUCGAGCCGAUCCAAUCCAGCGCGUGACAGAGGUGUGGUACGGGAUCAUCCGAGGCGCACGAUGCGUGUGAGGAAAGGUGGGGGCAAGGGCGAUAAUGGCAGACGCCUCGUCUGCUGGAAACUGCUCUCCUCUCCUUCAAGCUCGCAAUCAUGGCCUAUUAUUCAUUCAUGGCUGGUAAAGUCGCAAACCUUUCCUAUGCCCAGAGGUACUACAUAAUGCUUCCCUUCCCACUUCCCUCUGUAGCCAUGUCCCGAACUCGCCGUCGCCUUCUAUCCUGCUUGCCGUGGCCAUAGAUUUUCAUCUCUCCUCCUUGCCAAGUAGUUUAUCUCUUGUCUCCAGCGACAACACUGUAGGUGCAGCACAAGCGCGUCCGCUUGCCUUGUGUUCUUUUUGUGUUUUUAUUACUGAACUGUAGAAUUCUUGUUGUUGCAGAAAUUUGGGGAUCAAGCUGCUGAUUGCCUCGUCAUCCAGAAAAGUUAUUUUGGUGAGCAGAACAUUCGCUGGAAGAUGAACCAGCUUUUUCUGGCGAACGAAAUGAGCUCCUAUUUACUACUUUUGAAUUUGUUCAUUGAAACAUUGGGUCCAAGCUUGAUUGUUUACACAGCAAUGAGCACUCCUUUGUUCCCUCAACUUCUUCUAACAAAAUUAGCUAUUGUUAAGCCUGAUUUUUCUUUUACAUAAUAUUGUUUCAGUUUCAGUUCAGAAGUGUUUGCCAUGCCUUUUUUCUAUUGAAGGAACACGCUUGUGUAAAUCACAGUCCAUCCAUACAUUUCGAUACGCGAAUAGUUCCGUUCAGGUUCAUAAUGAUGAGUUUUUCUUAUUUCCAGUUUACAUAUUAUUAUCCACAUCAGCAAACCUGGGGGCUUCCUACUGUUCCUUUUUAAAAUGGUGCCUCUUAGUGUGCUUCAUUAGCUUGUAUGUAUAUUGGAGCAAUAAUGAAAGCCUUCACAUCAGGUUACGUGGUUGCACUGCUUAUUCCGGACACUAUUUGUGAGAUGGCAUCCUAUCUACUAAUACAGUUUUAUCUGAGAAGAUGGGCCUGUUUUGCUAUGGUGGGAAGUUAUACAUUUUCUUGACAGCGACAAGUGUGCCAUUCCAUGAAUUUUAUUGGGCAUCAUUUUCGGUAUAAUAUCUAGAGUACUGUCCUGAGAUGUAGGGGUGGGUGAACAUUGUUCAGAUAUAUACUACCGGCUCAGGUUUAGUCUCACUAGAAGUGUGUGGGACAUAAUCAAUCACAAUCUGUUAUGUGAUGUAUAUCAGUAUCAUAGUGGUUGAUAUAAGUUAUGUGUGAAUUGUUGCAACACUCAAUGAAGACUGUUUUGGCAUCACUUCUAUUUUUGGUUUGGUUAAGUUUACCUGCUGAUCUUAUAACAAUUAUAAUGCCACAUCUUUUCUUCUUUAUCUUUUGAGCCUCUCUAAGUUUUCAUACUAUCUUUUCCUUUUUCACACAUUUUCAUCUUAUUGUUCUACACCACGAGAGAAAAGUAUUUAUUCGGCUCUGAACUUACAAGGGACUGUAUUUAAUUAUUAGUUGCGGCUUGCUGUACAAAUAUGCAGUUAUAUUGCAGCUUCCAUUUAUUUUUUUUGUUUUUCAAGUUAGCAUGCCUCUUACCCUCUUGCGUGCAUUUCCAGGUGCAAUUUUAAGGCUUUAUGGAUCUGGAUGAGUUGAUGUGACAAUGGUCGAGGAGGUGAUGCCCUACUCUCAUCUAAUACAUUGAUGAAGACUAGAGGAUGUGAGUUCUCUCACUAUCUAUUUCUCGUUAGGUCGUUAAUUCUGGUGAUAUGUAAAUAUGUUUCUCUCUUUCAGUUCUGUAACCACUGCUGCACUGCCCUUUUCUACAGUACUUCCACCUUAGUAAUAUUAUUUUCUUUUUAGGUUUGCCAGGAUUCUAUAUUUCACGCAAUUUAAUGCACACUACUACAUCUGCACUCCGUGGCUCUUCUUUGCCACGACACAGUUCUAAGCACUUCUCGAAAUAUGCGUAUUGACACUUUGUACAACUUGAGAGUAGGGGGUACUUCAGGGGCUGCUAUAUUUUUUCUUAAACGAGGCAAAAGACUUGCCAUUUUCAUUGAUUAAGAAGAAGAGAAUUGCCCAGUUAAUUGACGGAAAACCAGGCUAAAACCAAUACAAGCCAACCCAUAUGACAUGGGCACCACCGGCCAACCUAGCCACCGACAUGAAACCCGCAACUGCAAAGAAGAAAGACAUCCGUCGAGGAGUCACAAGCAUCCGUCGAGGGGCUCCUAUUUAGUUAUAGCAUUAUUCUGGCAUAAUUACUUGGCAUUUGUUGAACAUUUUUUUAGCAUGAGCAUGGUUUAUUUACCAGUCUGGUUUGUCUAUUGUUUCGGCAUCUUUACCGAAUUGAAAUAUGUUCAAAUACCAGUUUAGUUAGUCCAUUAUUGCUGCAUCUUCUCCUCUCAUGAAGAUAUGCACAGUACUAAUUCCCAGUUUCGGAACCUUAUCUGAUGUUUUCGCACUUAAUUUUCCCCUCGAAUAUUUAUAUUGUUCUUUCUACAUGAUCGAUGGGCACAAACAUACCUUAUGUUAUUGGUGCAGUGCUGCAGGAGGCCUUGCAAAUGCUAUAGCAGAUGAUCACCCAGUUUUGACAUAGACGGACAUGGAUUCCCAAAGCAUUAUAAUCAAGGAGAGGAGAAAAGGCUUUGGACAACUUCUCUAUAUUUUUCACCCACAAGUCUGCAACCUAUUUUUUCAAUAUGGAAAUGACUUGUGACACAUUUUAUUGAAUAUCAAAGUGAGUUACAUGGUUGAACACUGAAGGAAAAACCGCCAGGAUUCUCAAGUGUCACACCACGACGCUUUAGGCUUGGCAAGCUUCCUCGCCUAUCUGUGCUAUGUUGCCCCUAGAGAAUGGCUAAAGUAGUUACAUUGAUGUACAAUGUUUUUUCUUGAUCAUUUUGUUAUAAACUGCAUGACUCAGUUCAUCUCUGGCCAUUCGAUAAACAUAACUGCAUUUAUUAUGAAUGAAUACUUAUAUCCACUUUACACACUGUAUCUCCUAAAUUUUCUUGUGUAACUUACAUUUUACUGUGCUAUAUAUUUCUGGAAUCACCUAUCCUUUUAUUAUGAAAAUGGACGGGCACAGCAACGCGUGCCCACCAUGAUCUAGUUAAAUGAUAUAGCCACCCUAUUCACUAAUGAUGAGAAAUCCCGCUACUAUUAUAUCCUUAAAAUAUUUUCGUUCUCAUUAAAGGGUGAUGCUAAGAUAUGGUUUAA
rnacentral:lncRNA from 1 species